AGCAUGUACAGAAAGGAGGUGAGAAGGGCUGGCUUAUGUACAGCAAUGUGCUAUCUGCAAGAAAAUACUUGCUGGUUUUUAAAGUACUACUCCUCAAAAACGACUGUCCCACUUGGUUUAGUAUCACCAGCCAUAUUUAAUUGGUAUUGAGACCAAGCUGUCCACAGUAGUCCAGGCAUGGAAAAACCAAGGUCCUGUGUAUUUGCAGCAAGCCUUCCUUGCUCUCAUACCCUCACCCUCUUAUAAUGAAGAAGAAAUCGAAUUGCAUUCUAGAAACAGUGAGGAGGGAAAGAAGGAAAUGAUUUUCCAGAUGCGUUUAUCCCAUUGUUAUCUGCAACCCUAUAAUCAAACUUUGUUGUUGAUAUACCUUGACUGUAACAAACUGAUUCAGAAAUUCUUGUGGCCAUUAGACUCCGAGCUUACUUUUGCAGUCUGAAUUAUUUUUUUGAAAAUUGAGCAAAAACACUGCAAGGGAAAAGGUUGCUGAUUAACUUAAUGAAAAGUUACCUAUAACAGCUGACUCCAGGAGUUGAUUUGUUUGAAAUUGUGUAAUAUUUUAAAAAUUUAGAGUUGUUUGUUUUCUGAAAGAUGUUGCAAAUGCCACAUCCUAUUUGGUGAAUGCGAACUGCUUUGCUUAAAUUAAAAUUCCCAUGCUGUAUCCAUUUGCAAAGAAACUCUUACAGUGCUGCUUCUGCCAGGAAGUUUGGGAUACCCUGGAUCAUGUACCUUUCCAUAUUUGGGACUAGUAUUGCUUAGUAGAAACCAAUAAAGUUUUCAU